CGUUGGUGGUAUAGUGGUGAG
rnacentral:piRNA from 1 species